rnacentral:rRNA from 1 species
GAUGAACGCUGGCGGCGUGCCUAAUACAUGCAAGUCGAGCGAACGGACGAGAAGCUUGCUUUUCUGAUGUUAGCGGCGGACGGGUGAGUAACAUGUGGAUAACCUACCUAUAAGACUGGGAUAACUUCGGGAAAACUGAGCUAAUACCGGCUUAUAUUUUUAACCGCAUGGUUCAAAAGUGAAAGACGGUCUUGCUGUCACUUAUAGAUGGAUCCGCGCUGCAUUAGCUAGUUGGUAAGGUAACGGCUUACCAAGGCCACGAUGCGUAGCCGACCUGAGAGGGUGAUCGGCCACACUGGAACUGAGACACGGUCCAGACUCCUACGGGAGGCAGCAGUAGGGAAUAUUGCGCAAUGGGCGAAAGCCUGACGCAGCAACGCCGCGUGAGUGAUGAAGGUCUUCGGAUCGUAAAACUCUGUUAUUAGGGAAGAACAUAUGUGUAAGUAACUGUGCACAUCUUGACGGUACCUAAUCAGAAAGCAACGGCUAACUACGUG